GGGCCCGCACAAGCAGUGGAGUAUGUGGUUUAAUUCGAAGCAACGCGAAGAACCUUACCAGGGCUUGACAUACCGAUGACCGGGUUAGAGAUAACCCUUCCCUUCGGGCAUCGGAUACAGGUGGUGCAUGGUUGUCGUCAGCUCGUGUCGUGAGAUGUUGGGUUAAGUCCCGCAACGAGCGCAACCCUGUUGUUAGUUGCCAUCAUUAAGUUGGGCACUCUAACAAGACUGCCGGUGACAAAUCGGAGGAAGGUGGGG
rnacentral:rRNA from 1 species